ACUUACAAUCCUUUGGACUUUUGAUUUGAAAUCAAAAUGUUUGUUUUUAUUAACAAUGUAAGUU
rnacentral:tRNA from 1 species